rnacentral:sRNA from 1 species
UACAAAUUCAGAAGGAACUCCAAGGCAAACCUCAACAAAAGGAUACUGAGGAAUUUUUCACUUUUUUAAUCUUUGUUUUUUGGCAUUGUUCUCUGAACCUUGAAGAGGAUGUUUUGAUGUUACCAAAGAUAUGGCGGUUUUUGAUAUUAAUAGCAUCCUGAAAAAGUUAAGGUAGAAAUUGCUUUCAACAGAAAUUGACGCAUUGCUAUAUCCAAUAUCUGAAAACAUAGAAACAGCUUUGGAAUAAAUUCACAGGCACAGAAUUCAGAAAUUUUAUGAUGCAUGAUGGAGGAGUCAAGAUUGCUAGGAAAUGAUUUUUUAAAGGAAAUUCUAGGGAUAGCUCAGAAGUUCAGGAGGAAAGGGAAAGGGACACUUCUCUUAGAGGAGACAGAUCAUUAUAGAUAGAACACUGAUAGCUAGAUGGAUAAUAAAAGCUAUUGUAAUGAAUUCUAUGGUAGAAAUGUAGAAAAGGUGAUCUUGGUUAUAUGUUAACAAAGACUACUAUGUUUUUUUGUUCAUGCCUAAUGUUUUAUAAUGGUGUAAUUUUAUAAAGAUUAAGUUGAAUAUUUCCAAUUAUUUGAAAUAUCUAAGUAAAAUGAUAAAAGGGUGGCUUGCAACCAUCUGAUUGAGAACAGGAUGUUAUAAAAGUAAAAGAAUGGAACAAUGGUUAAUUCAGAAACUAUGUUUAACCUCUGCCAAGAUUUGUUAUGAAUAUGAAAAGCAUAAAAUUUAACCAAUCUAUCCUCAUCUAAAAUAUGGAAUUACUAAGCAAAGGGUAACUAAAAUGUAGUGAUUUAGAAAAUCUUCAGUUCAAUUAUAUUGGAAAAAAACCCAAGGAAACAGAAAGUACUACUAAAAUAUAACUACAGUAAGUUCAUGGCCAUGGGAUGGUUUGGUACUCAGAUGACAAGGAUUACAUACUCAGGUACCCCAGUGAAGUCCUAUAACUUCUAACUGAAAGAGAUAGACAAAAUAAGGUAUAAGAAGGGGGUAUUUAUAUUAUUUAUUCUACAGGUGAACUGUAGAGAAAUUCACCUGUCAGUCCGCUUCAUUUUUUUUUAAGAUAAGGGAAGAUGGACUCGAAUAUCAAUUUAUAAAUUUUCAGGGCUGCUAUUUGGUACAGGCACCAAAUUUCUUUUCUUAGGCUAGAUGAUGCCUUUAGAUUUAGGGCUUGGGUUUUGGGCACGGGAGAAGAUUCAGGACUGCUACCUUGAUGGCUCCGGUGGAUAGAACACAACCACGACGAUCUGGACAGCAGAAAAUUGAACUAAGCUCUCUGAAGACAGGAAAUGAACAGUGAAUAUAUUUUAUUCAAAGCCUGCAUGAACCCAUCAAAGGAUAGCAACAAAAAGAGAUCAUUUUACACUUUCUUACUAAGGACACGGUAUGUAAAUUCUUUAGUAUUAAAUAAUAAAGUAGGUCACUUUCUGGGUUAAGAUGCAAAGAAAAUGAAAAUAAAUGGGAGAAGGUAAAAGUUUGGGGAAGAAACUCUUGAAGCCUUGAUAUGCUAAAGAGUAUUUCAAAUUAGAAUUUAUUUUUUAUAAAACAUAUUAUGUAAAUAUAUAUGUAACAGUUGGUUGGGCCAACCACCUCAACUAGAGAUCACCAAAAUAAUUCUAAAAUGUGAGCAGUGCACUGGAUGGAUGUAUUUUCUUCUAGAGAUUUUCCUUUUGAUAGAAAAGAAAAAAGACCAAAUAAAAAACUUCAUGCCGCUUAUGAAUAAAGUUUGAAAACUGUAAACAUCGAUCAGCAUUAUUUGUCUGCAGUGCAAGGCACAAUUUCCCUUAGUUCUUUGUCACACAGUGUUGUUAGUCACCUCAUGUCUAAGAACUGAUCGGCUUCAUUGGUUUAGAGUCACCUUAUGAAAAGAGUUGGAUAUCUUAUGUAGUAUUCUAAAAGAGAGAAGCAGAAAUCAAUGGAGAGAUGGUCUGAGCAGAAAGUAAAGUUUCCUGUCAGUAGGGUCACUUAAUAGUCACUGUUUGCCAUCAAAAUGGAAUGCUCCAUCAAAAAAAAAAGUGACCACAAGGUUUCAUAUAGACAAUGAAGCACACCAUGGUUAGAAACUGAAGUAAAUAGCCAAUAGGCUAUUCCUAUGGUUAGCUCAUACUACACUCAGUGAGCUAUUGAUUUGCAUGGCUUAUCAGAGCACAAUAAAGAUAAAGAGACAUUUAGAGAAGAAUGGCAAUUGAAAUUUAGAUUAUCUCAGUACACAGUCAGUGGUUGGAAGACCUUUCUGUUAGGUUCCUCAAUCUCUUGGAACAGAGGGUUUCAAAUAACAACAGAAUUUUACAAAGACCUCAUGUGAGAUGACUUAGAGAGGAAGAGAGAUCAGCGUUGCAUCAGAAGAGAAGGACAAUGACGUAUAGACAUGUACUUUCUUCUUUGGAUCCUGUAAAUUACUUUAGAACUAAUUUCUGGUUGCUAGAUACUGUUUAGCUCCUUAACAAUAUUAGGAGCUAAGUGUUCAAUGAUAAAUUAAAGAUGUAAUUUUAAAACGUAAUUUCUAUAGACAAUAGAAACAAAGAGGUAUUUGGUGGAUUUGAUUGUUUGCAAAAUUUAGAUGACUAAUCAUUAUAUGAUUUAUAAAAUUUAGAGCAAAGCAAAUUGCCUAUUGCCUUACAAGGUUAGCACAUCAUUCAGACACCAGGCUACUGAACCAUGACACAGGCUAGUGAAUCAGAGUAACAUACUGUAACAUAAUGUAACCAUGGUAGAAUAGUUGACAUAGGAAAUGAAGGAACAACAUAACAUUAUCCAGUGGCUAUUAUAAAAGUUACAGUGCAGGUACUGGAUAUGUGUGUGGGAAGGUAUUCUUUAUAAAUCCAUGCUUUUCUUUGCUUGAGUAUAUUGCCUUACUGCAUGUCCUUGGAUCUCUAAAUAAGGAAAAGUCAAUGUAAACAGGUUCCUAUUUGCAAGUUCAAUUGAUUUCCUUUUCUAUUCUCUUAUUUUCCUUUUAAGUCUACAAACUUCCCUUUCUCCAAGAGAGAAGAAUAUUCAUUCAUUGCUCAGAUAAAACGUUCAUGUUCUACUGAGAUUCAGUUCAACCACUUACAGACUAGCACUUAUGUCUGUCAUAUGCCUGAUGUCAUACAGAAAAUUCCACAAGGAAUCUUUGUCUUUUCUCUACCCCAUUCUCCAAUAUGUGACAUAUAGAUUUUGACAGUCACCUGCCAAGAUCUAUAAUCUGCUUUUGUUCUUCUAUUAGCACAGAAUGAAUAGCAGGCCAGCCAUAAUAAUUCCACAGUAAUUUCAAAACUAGUAUUGCUAUAGAAGGUCAAUUUGUGGUGCAGAAAAUUUUGUUUACUGUAGAACAAAUCUGGAUAAAAUCCAUUCUUGUAUUAUAACUUGAGGGCUAAGUCUGCUUUAAUGAUUUUUUUAAGAGAUACUCUUAAAUUAUACAGUACGGCUAAAGAAAACCCAAUAGAAACCUUAGCAAAUAAUAUUGAAUGUCCAGAGGGCUUAGCUGUUGCACGACUCUUAUCAGAUGAAAUCUUAUGACACAGACAUUUUCUCUAAUUCCUAUUACUAAAGCAUCUUGUCAUGACUUUCACAGCAAGAUAUGAGCCACACAAAAAGGAAAUUUGUGACUAAAUUGCUCAAGUAUACUUUCAAUACACUAAUAGCCAGAUAACCAUUUUGUAAAGAAACAAAGUUGAAGGUCCAAACAAAAAUAAACAGGCAGAUGUGAAUGCUCCACUCUUUCACAGCCAGCUAUAAAAUCUUGGCAAGUCCUGCAAUGUAUGGACUGCUAACUCUCAUGAUUUCUAAAUUUAGGACAUGUUAUGAAGGGGCCUCAAAAUUCCUUCUUCAAUUUUACAUAUACUUACCACUUUGAGGAUUCAUGGAUAAGUCACAAAAAUAUAAAAAGGGUAUCAGGAUCUUUUGAAAUUUGACUCAUAUCAAUGCAUAUUGAAGUUUAGCUUUAAUAUUGUUUCUCCAAUCUAGUCUAAAUUGUUGUAGAUCAACAGAUGCCAUGAUCAAGGAAAAAAUAUUUUUUCUUGUCUAUCUUGUCUAAAUUUUGACAACAUUCUUUGAAAGGGAAUCAUAAGACAAAACACAUUCCAGAGUAAAGAAAGAAGGAAAGGGAAUUAAUGUUAGGCACGUAAAGAGAAAUUGGAGAUCAAAACUUUGAGUGUGCAAAAGAUUUAAUUAUAGGCAAUGUGAAAAAUAUUUUAGGAAUUGUCAUGUAAAAUAGGCCUUCAACUAAUUCAUGUGAUUAUAACUGCAAGUAGUAAUGGGGAAAACAGUAAAAUAGGAAUUCAUCUAUAAGGAGUAAACACAGAUGCCAUCCUUUACCUUACCUCACCACCCACCUUAUGAUGACCUUUACACACCAAUACCUAACACAUUUUUCUGGCACUGCCCCAAGGUUUGGCGAGGACAACUUCUAAGAAAGCCUCUAUGUAACUCAUGAAAACAACACAUAACAGAAGCCUCGCCCUGCUCUAUUCUUAUUAUAAAAUAUCACAAACACUUGGACCAAGAGGAGAAGGAAAUCUGAAUUAGGCUAUGCAUGUUCAAUUAAAAGUUUAACUUUUACUGAAUAGAAUCAGAGUGAAUAGAAUUGAAACAAUGGAGAAGUGGUAUUUUGAAGAGAAAAAAUAUUUGUAUGUGUCUCCAAUUCUCGUCACCAUGGAACAAUGGAAAGAUCUGUUUGUAAUAAACGAAGAAAGAACCCGAGAAAAUGACAAAGCAAACUCCUUGCCAAAUAAUUCCUUUAAAAAAAAUCCUUGUUUCCGGAGUCAUUUGAGAGACACUUCAACCUCUUGCUUGUACGUCUAUAUAGCUCACUCUAAAAUCACGUCUUAUUUGCCGCAGUUGCUAUCCCAUUCAUUUGUAAUUGGUUUCAAAGCUCUGAGCAGAGCUUCCUUUUGUGCAGCUGUAGUUCCUCUUCUCCCCGGCUACUCUUCAUUCCUGGCAGUCCUAACAAUUGUUGCUCCUUCCUACUUCUGUAUGAAUUCUGUUAUAAGCUUGAUAAAUUCAUAAUAAAUCAUUUU